rnacentral:tRNA from 2 species
GGGCGCUUAGCUCAGCGGUAGAGCACUACCUUGACACGGUAGGGGUCACAGGUUCAAUCCCUGUAGCGCCCACCA